rnacentral:rRNA from 1 species
GUCAGACGUGAAAGCCCCGGGCUCAACCCCGGAACUGCGUUUGAUACUGCCAGACUAGAGUGCGGGAGAGGAAAGUGGAAUUCCCGGUGUAGAGGUGAAAUUCGUAGAUAUUGGGAGGAACACCCGUGGCGAAAGCGGCUCUCUGGGCCCAUACUGACGCUGAGGAGCGAAAGCGUGGGGAGCAAACAGGAUUAGAUACCCUGGUAGUCCACGCCGUAAACGAUGAGUGCUAGACGUCGGGAAGAUUGCACCGUUUCGCGCCUAACGAAUUAAUUAAACCCCCUGGGGAGGACGCCCGCAAGAUUAAAACUCAAAUGAAU